rnacentral:rRNA from 1 species
CAGUCGCCGCGGUAAUACGUAGGGUGCAAGCGUUAAUCGGAAUUACUGGGCGUAAAGCGUGCGCAGGCGGUUUGUUAAGUCUGCUGUGAAAUCCCCGGGCUCAACCUGGGAAUGGCAGUGGAUACUGGCUCGCUAGAGUGUGUCAGAGGAUGGUGGAAUUCCCGGUGUAGCGGUGGAAUGCGUAGAGAUCGGGAGGAACAUCAGUGGCGAAGGCGGCCAUCUGGGACAACACUGACGCUGAGGCACGAAAGCGUGGGGAGCAAACAGGAUUAGAUACCCCAGUAGUCCCUGUCUCUUAUAC